GUCUAUGGUCAUAUGACCCUGAAUGCACCCAAUCUUGUCUGAUCUCAGAAGCUAAGCAGGGUCGGGCCUGGUUAGUACUUGGAUGAGAGAAACAGGCAGAGAAUCCAAGUAGAAAAAUGGGCA
ensembl:rRNA 5S_rRNA 5S ribosomal RNA